AGGGAUCAUUACUGAGUGAGGGCUCACGCCCGACCUCCAACCCUUUGUGAACACAAUCUUGUUGCUUCGGGGGCGACCCUGCCGGCACUACGUCGCCGGGCGCCCCCGAAGGUCUCCAAACACUGCAUCUUUGCGUCGGAGUUUAAACAAAUUAAACAAAACUUUCAACAACGGAUCUCUUGGUUCUGGCAUCGAUGAAGAACGCAGCGAAAUGCGAUAAGUAAUGUGAAUUGCAGAAUUCAGUGAAUCAUCGAAUCUUUGAACGCACAUUGCGCCCUUUGGUAUUCCGAAGGGCAUGCCUGUUCGAGCGUCAUUUCACCACUCAAGCCUGGCUUGGUAUUGGGCGUCGCGGCUCCGCGCGCCUUAAAGUCUCCGGCUGAGCCAUUCGUCUCUAAGCGUUGUGGAUUUUCUAAUUCGCUUCGGAGUGCGGGUGGCCGCGGCCGUUAAAUCUUUACUCAAGGUUGACCUCGGAUCAGGUAGGGAUA
rnacentral:rRNA from 1 species